rnacentral:rRNA from 1 species
UACAGAGGGUGCAAACGUUGCUCGGAAUUAUUGGGCGUAAGGCGCACGUAGGCGGUUUGGUAAGUUGGAUGUGAAAACCCUGGGCUCAACCCUGGAAGUGCAUCCAAGACUGUCAAGCUCGAGUGUCGGAGGGGGUCGGAGAAUUCCCGGUGUAGAGGUGAAAUUCGUAGAUAUCGGGAGGAACAUCUGUGGCGAAGGCGCCGACCUGGACGACAACUGACGCUGAGGUGCGAAAGCAUGGGGAGCAAACAGG